GGCGAGGGAGCACCUCCUCUGAUCUGACUGCUCAGCUCCCAGCCUCACUCUGCGGCACGCGAGGGAGCUGAGCAGUCAGCUCAGAGGAGGUGCUCCCUCGCC